UCUAAUGUGGCAGAUUAGUGCAAUGGAUUUAAGCUCCAAAUAUAAAGAAUUCUUUUUUUAGAA
rnacentral:tRNA from 1 species